CCUACGGGAGGCAGCAGUGGGGAAUAUUGCACAAUUGGGGCAACCCUGAUGCAGCGACGCCGCGUGAGUGAAGCAGUAAUUCGUUACGUAACGCUCUAUCAGCAGGGAAGAAAAUGACGGUACCUGAGUACUAAGCCCCGGCUAACUACGUGCCAGCAGCCGCGGUAAUACGUAGGGGGCAAGCGUUAUCCGGAUUUACUGUGUGUAACGGAAGCGUAGACGGUGCGCCAAGUCUGGAGUGAAAUGCCGCAGCUUAACUGCGGAACUGCUUUGGAAACUGGCGAACUAGAGUGCGGGCGGGGUAAGCGGAAUUCCUAGUGUAGCGGUGAAAUGCGUAGAUAUUAGGAGGAACACCGGUGGCGAAGGCGGCUUACUGGACCGUAACUGACGUUGAGGCUCGAAAGCGUGGGGAGCAAACAGGAUUAGAUACCCCAGUAGUC
rnacentral:rRNA from 1 species